AGAGUUUGAUCCUGGCUCAGGACAAACGCUGGCGGCGUGCGUAACACAUGCAAGUCGGACGGGCGCCAGGCUUCGGUCUGGUGGCUAGUGGCGGACGGGUGAGUAACACGUGGAUGACCUACCCUCCGGUGGGGGAUAGCUCGCGGAAACGCGGGGUAAGACCGCAUACGCUACACGGGAGCGAUCCGGUGUAGGAAAGG
rnacentral:rRNA from 1 species